GAUGAACGCUGGCGGCGUGCCUAAUACAUGCAAGUCGAGCGAACGGACGAGAAGCUUGCUUCUCUGAUGUUAGCGGCGGACGGGUGAGUAACACGUGGAUAACCUACCUAUAAGACUGGGAUAACUUCGGGAAACCGGAGCUAAUACCGGAUAAUAUUUUGAACCGCAUGGUUCAAAAGUGAAAGACGGUCUUGCUGUCACUUAUAGAUGGAUCCGCGCUGCAUUAGCUAGUUGGUAAGGUAACGGCUUACCAAGGCAACGAUGCAUAGCCGACCUGAGAGGGGGAUCGGCCACACUGGAACUGGAACACGGUCCAGACUCCUACGGGAGGCAGCAGUAGGGAAUCUUCCGCAAUGGGCGAAAGCCUGACGGAGCAACGCCGCGUGAGUGAUGAAGGUCUUCGGAUCGUAAAACCCUUUUAUUAGGGAAAAACAUAUGUGUAAGUAACUGUGCACAUUUUGACGGUACCGAAUCAGAAAGCCCCGGCUAACUACGU
rnacentral:rRNA from 1 species